CUAGCCGUAAACGAUGGACACUAGGUGUGGGCGAAUGUUUCGUCCGUGCCGCAGCCAACGCAUUAAGUGUCCCGCCUGGGGAGUACGGCCGCAAGGCUAAAACUCAAAGGAAUUGACGGGGGCCCGCACAAGCAGCGGAGCAUGUGGCUUAAUUCGAAGCAACGCGAAGAACCUUACCAGGGCUUGACAUUUAGGUGAAGCGGCGGAAACGUCGUGGCCGAAAGGAGCCUAAACAGGUGG
rnacentral:rRNA from 1 species